rnacentral:lncRNA from 1 species
CCCUUCUGGAAUUUUAUAAGCACAGGAUGUACAAUGUGGUUUAACCGCGUCUAGGAAAGAAAAUAAACAGGCAGUUGCCCACAGAGCGUAUCUUACAUCUGAACUUCUGUGUACAUGCCAACAAAAGUUAUCACUUUACGUGCUAACUGGACAACUAGAUGUCAGAAGUGCCUCUGCUGUUUGAAAUGGAAGCUAUUAUUCAGCAUAGCUCAGAGGAUUUACAACAUUGUCCUUAACAUGAUAAUAAUAAAGAGUAGGAUAGUUAGCAGUCUUAAACAGGAGUGUUGUUAAAUAGUUUUCACUUGUCUGGCAUAAUCUCAAAGAGGACAGUAGCACAAAGAAAAACCUUAAUUUGUAUCUUACUGCCUGUUAAGGCUUAAUAAUAAUACGGUAGUUCCCAAAACCUACAGUCAGGUUUGUGGCUUACUCUGCUAUACCUUGCACACAAGUACAAUCCCUGCAUAAAGAGUUUUUAUAAUCUAAAGGCAAGAUGCAAGAAGUGAGUAUAACAAACAAUAGGAAGGAAGAGGGGGAGGGAAGAUGAGGUUAACAGUAAUAACAUCAUGUGGUUAUGUAGGUUAACAAUGCGAACAGCUUGAUGACUGACUUCUGUAACCUUUUAUUUUUAAAUACUUUUUAAAGACACUCUACAUUAGAUUACAUUUUGUUCUUCACCCUAUCCCCCAAAAAGUAUCUUCAAUUAUCUUCCAUUAGAUGAAGUUUUCUAUGUUUGCAUAUAAACUACCCUGCAUAUCUCUUCUUAGCUUUCCUGGGCUCUUAAAAGAAACAGCUCUCCAUCCCUGAACCUCUCUCAUGCAGUGCUCCUCUCCACUGAGGCACAGAGGGAUGCCUGUCCGACAGUUUUUGUGGUGCCGGACUGUUCUCCUAGCCCAUCUCACUACACACAGCUCUCUUGCAGUGGUAGUCUGCAGUGGUGGCUGUUGCCCUCUGCUUCCUCAUCCCCAGGGUGCUCCUACAGAUAUCAGCGUGCUGUGGCUAAAAUGCAUGAAAAAAUCCAAAGUAAAGGAUCAUCAGAGACAAUUUACAUGAGAAAUGAAGAAUCGUAUGAGGAAAGAAAUGAAUAAAACUUUGUCUCCUUCAACA